rnacentral:snRNA from 1 species
AGCUUUGCGCAGUGGCAAUAUCGUAGCCAAUGAGGUUUAUCCGUGGCGCGAUUAUUGCUAAUUGAAAAUUUUCCCUAAGAGG